UGCACCACCACCCACCGAAUCAAGAAAGAGCUAUUGAUCUGUCAAUCCUACCGGUGUCCGGACCGGGUGAGUUUUCCCGUUAUGGGAGAUGAAUAAUUUU